AAAUGCAUCGUUUUUUGAAUUCUUGACAUUUCUAACUUUAUUUUAUGACAUUUGUGUCAGCUGAAAAAUGAUCCGUGAUGAAAAUAUUUUCGUUUGGUCCGAUAUGUUCCACCAUUUGAUAUACGCGUGCAACCGCUCUACGGAAGGAUUUACACCAUUGUUAUUGGAUAUUUUUGUUCAUUUAUCCUUUUGCAAUUUUAACUCAAAGACGAUUUUUUUUGGUGGUAGGUAUAUUAUUUUAAAUUUUUAAGGUAGCCUGAAAAACCCAGCAAACUUCUUGAAGGGUCGUUUGAGAACAACUUGCACUAGAAAACGAAAAAUGGUUAUUAGUAUGCUGCAACAUAAAUCCUGAAAUUCCGAUCUUCUGUAGAAAUUUGAACGUUGGGAGGAUGUGAGAUAAAAUAUUUAAGUUAUGUACUAACUUUUCACUUAAGUUUUAUCAAAUGGGGAUUAAAAUUUACCCAAAAUUUGGAAUAAAAAAGUUACAUUAGUCCGACAUGUUCCACCAUUUGAUAUCCAUUGUUUAUAUACGCCAUGUUGUCAUUUAAGCGUCUUGUCGGAAUGAUUGUUUUAGUAUGGCGUGCCAACAAUUCAUGAAUUUGUAACUUUGACCCCGCAAAAAUUGUAGCAAUCAUUUACUAUGUUGUUCCCGAAGAGAAGAUGUGCAUGAGAUAUUACUUUAUUUAGUGUAUUUGUUUUUGCCGUUUGUUAUUGUUAAUUUUUAUUAGCUAUCACAUUUUCUGCUUAUUGUGAUUUUCUCAGAGUAGCUUCUAGUUUGUUUUGACUGAAGAAUAUAUAAAUGUCAACUAUCAUUUUAGAUUAGUAGGGGCUAGCAUAUUGCUAGCUAGCUAGCUAGUUAUUGUUGUAUACAUUUGAAAUAAGUAAGAUAGCUAUGCAUGGUUGAUUUGUCAGUAGCAUGCAAAUUGUUGCACUAUAACUAAAUGUCUUAAAUAAUGUGUAGCAUAUAGCUACCAUCUUAAUUAUGUGAUUAUAUUAUAUUAAAAAAACAGAGGCAAGAAUCUAGCAACUUGCUCACCACAUAUUUUUAUGGUUUUUAUUAUAAGCAAUUCUCUAAAAGAACUUCAAAAAAUGCAGGUGAACAAGGUAGAUAAAUUUUUUGUCUUAAUAAUUUUCACCAACCUGUCUAGUUUCAUACUUAGUAAUACCCAAUAUCACUCAAAAAUUUGUCUAUUGUAUACUCUGUAACAUGCUCAAGUUUCGGUGCCAGUAAAAAUGGCAAUAUGUUAUCCUGAUAUAAGGCUCAGAAUAUCAUGUCAUAGCCAUCCAGUGUUGCCAGUGGAAAGAGAAAGUGAAAUCACAUAUUUAGGAUGUUCACGUAAUAUGAACGGUAUAAGCUCACUCUUUAUUAUGCCAGUUUAUGGCCUUUGGGAAGUUGUUGUUGAUACUAUGUAGAAUGCAAACAUUUCAUUUAUGUGACGUGUUUGGUGAAUCAGUUACAUAAAGAUGAAGAAAAAAGUUUUUUGACCAUAAGUAUUUUGCACACAGUUUGUUUGGUCCUUAUAUGCCUUUUGCUUUUAAUAUAUUUGAAUAUGUAUCUUUGUGAAAUUUGGUAUUCUGUGUUGUUUAUCGACCUCCUUUUAACAGCUAAAAUUAGGGUUUUAGGAAAUAUGAUAACAGUGAAUUUUUUUUUGGGUCCAUUUUAUCAUGCUGGUGUAGGAACACAGCAUGCCAAUUUUAAAUUCAUUCUUUAAAUUUGUCCUAUAGUUUUCAUUGUUGUCGCAGUAAUAAAGCUGUUCAAUAAUCACUACACUAAAAUCUAGGUAACCACGGUCAAACAUUAGGCACAUGUUAUAGACUUUGGAAGUUGCAACUACCUACUUGCAAUAAAGCACACAGCAUCAAUGUUGCAGUUUGUUUUAUGAUUGCAAAUAUAAAUUAAGUAAUUUACACAUAACCUUUUUGGAUUAGUAGCCAAAUACAACCCAAGUCAGUUUUAUAUAAGAGUUUUGGAGAACCACAAAAAGAAAGUAUAAAGUUGGUGGAAUGGAUUAAUUCCAAACUAAACAAAAAACUUUCCUGAUCACAACCAUGAAGGUUGGUAGCUAAAAUAUUAAAGAAAUUACUUUAACAUUUAUAUACAUGUGGCUAAAAACACUACAACCUAAGGUUUAACUGCCUUGGAGUGUUUUUUUUUUUUUUACAUAAUUCUUAGUGUAUUAGAGGGACUAAAAACAAAAAUUAUUAUCAAAGGAAAUCAAAUUAACGUACUUUGACUGUGUUACCUGACUCUUAAGUCAUUACCACGUACAAAUAUGGGUACUAGAAUUUUGUACUAAGUAUGUCAAGUUGGACAGCUUUUGGUUUCACAAGCUGAUUUUCUUUUUAUAUUGUAUAAAACUACUUAGGGACUGUCUCCACAAUUGUUUCCAGGAUUCCCUCUAAAAAUCAAAAAACCUCAAUGACUUUUUGUGAAAACUCUUACAUUUUUAUCUAUUUGUGAAAAUUGUAAUUGAUUUUUGUGGAAUAUCCAUCUUCCGCAUCAGCUAAUGCAGAAAUCAAAUCGGGUAUCCCAUUUGUAUCCCUUGUUCAAUUCCUUUGGCAUUCUUGAUUUUACAUAAAAUGAAAUGAGGCAAAUGAGAAAAGUUUGUAUUGGAAUUAAUUUGUGAAGCCUGUAAGAGUUGUCUGUCUUGUCUGCCUAAUACCUAAAUUAAUAACUUGUAUUUGGAAACUUAAAGAAUAACACCCUUUAUGCAAAGCAGAUUUAUUUUUAAAAACUAGGAUUUAACAACGUAUUAACUAAAUGUUUAGCAGUUAGUUGAAAAUAGUAUAUGUAUGAUGAUAAUUGCAUUCGUAUAGUCAUAAAUGCAGAAACGUUUGGAUAAAUAAAGUGUUUCAUAUAAGAUGUCCUUUUAUAAGAAAUGCUGAAAGAUUAUUUAUCAAAAUAUAUAUAUUUUUAAGAAGAGUUUUAUUAAGUUUCACUUGCUUUUAUCGUUAGGGCAAUCAUCUUGUUUCUCUUUCUCUUCAGCUUCUGUAAUAUUACCCUCAUGGCACUUCUGAAAGAGAACUUAUUUAAGCAUUCAAAACCUGAAUACCUUAAAAUACAUUUUUUAUGAUCCUGCUCUUAGCUUUAAAAGAACAGCAGCAAACUAGAGGAAGAUGUCUAAAAAAUCGAAAUUAUCUCGUACAUCAAGCCAUCAAAAUUAACUCAACUGCGACUUAUAAAUAUUUCCGCACGGUUGUAUAGACCAAAACUUUAACAUGAGUAAGAACUUGCACCUAAUAAACAAGAAAAUAAAGCAAGAAAGUAUCGAAAAUACGAUUAUUGGAAGCAUCUAGAUCCUGCUUAACGAAGGAAGAAGUGUCAUUUUACCAAUGUUAGAUUGUGUUAAAAUUUAACUGUUAUAAAACAAGAACUGAGAUUGACUGAUCGAGAACAAUUGAUGGAAGAGUAGCAGUAAUAUCGGAUCUUUAAAUAUAUAAUCACACUGUCCGUCCUUUUGUUUACAUAACUUACUAAAAUAUUGUAAAUAUAUAUAUUUGUAUGUAUUGGGUUUUAUUAUCAGUACACGCUAUGAAAGCAGUAAAUUAAUACUGAACUGUAAAUCAUUUACCCUAAUAUUCACUAUAAAUCCUUACAUAGUUAUGUAGAGUUUGCAUGCACUACUAAUAUGUAUCAUUUAUUUAACAGUACAAAUUGUGUUCUAUAAAGAGGUCCGUUUUAAAAUUAUCA